CUUGGUGGUUUUUGCGAAGGAGGUACACCUGAUCCCAUCUCGAACUCAGAAGUUAAGCCCUUUAGCUCCAAUGAUACCCCGUUUAUUCGGAGGAAAGUAGGUCGCCGCCAAGA
rnacentral:rRNA from 2 species